rnacentral:rRNA from 1 species
CCCGCUGAACUUAAGCAUAUCAAUAAGCGGAGGAAAAGAAACCAACAGGGAUUGCCUCAGUAACGGCGAGUGAAGCGGCAAAAGCUCAAAUUUGAAAUCUGGCCUCACGGUCCGAGUUGUAAUUUGUAGAGGAUGCUUCGAACGUGGUCCGGUCUAAGUUCCUUGGAACAGGACGUCAUAGAGGGUGAGAAUCCCGUAUGUGCCCGGGUGCCAUUGUUCAUGUGAAGCUCCUUCGACGAGUCGAGUUGUUUGGGAAUGCAGCUCAAAAUGGGUGGUAAAUUUCAUCUAAAGCUAAAUACUGGCCAGAGACCGAUAGCGCACAAGUAGAGUGAUCGAAAGAUGAAAAGAACUUUGGAAAGAGAGUUAAACAGUACGUGAAAUUGCUGAAAGGGAAACGCUUGAAGUCAGUCGCGUUGGCCGGGAAUCAGCCUUGCUUUUGCAUGGUGUACUUUCUGGUUGACGGGUCAGCAUCAAUUUUGAUCACUGGAAAAGGCUCAAGGGAAUGUGGCAGCUUCGGCUGUGUUAUAGCCCCUGUUCACAUACAGUGGUUGGGAUUGAGGAACUCAGCACGCCGCAAGGCCGGGUUUCGACCACGUUCGUGCUUAGGAUGCUGGCAUAAUGGCUUUAAGCGACCCGUCUUGAAACACGG